UACGGAGGGUGCAAGCGUUGUCCGGAAUCACUGGGCGUAAAGGGCGCGUAGGCGGCUCAUGAAGGCUGUGGUGAAAGUCCGGGGCUCAACCUCGGAUCGGCCGUGGCGACUCGUGGGCUGGAGCACUGUAGAGGCGGGUGGAAUUCCGGGUGUAGCGGUGGAAUGCGUAGAGAUCCGGAAGAACACCAGUGGCGAAGGCGGCCCGCUGGGGCAGUGGCUGACGCUGAGGCGCGACAGCGUGGGGAGCAAACAGG
rnacentral:rRNA from 1 species